AACGACUCUCGGCAACGGAUAUCUCGGCUCUCGCAUCGAUGAAGAACGCAGCAAAAUGCGAUACUUGGUGUGAAUUGCAGAAUCCCGUGAAUCAUCGAGUUUUUGAACGCAAGUUGCGCCCGAAGCCAUUUGGCCGAGGGCACGUCUGCCUGGGUGUCACGC
rnacentral:rRNA from 1 species